rnacentral:rRNA from 1 species
ACGAGCGCCGGCGGCAUGCCUAACACAUGCCAGUCGAACGAGACCUUCGGGUCUAGUGGCGCACGGGUGCGUAACGCGUGGGAACCUGCCCUUAGGUUCGGAAUAACUCCCCGAAAGGGGUGCUAAUACCGGAUAAUGUCUUCGGACCAAAGAUUUAUCGCCUUUGGAUGGGCCCGCGUUGGAUUAGCUAGUUGGUAGGGUAAAAGCCUACCAAGGCGACGUUCCAUAGCUGGUCUGAGAGGAUGAUCAGCCACACUGGGACUGAGACACGGCCCAGACUCCUACGGGAGGCAGCAGUGGGGAAUAUUGGACAAUGGGCGAAAGCCUGAUCCAGCAAUGCCGCGUGAGUGAUGAAGGCCUUAGGGUUGUAAAGCUCUUUUACCCGGGAUGAUAAUGACAGUACCGGGAGAAUAAGCUCCGGCUAACUCCGUG